ensembl:misc_RNA Gm55855 predicted gene, 27568
CGGGUAUACUGUUCCCCCGGCCUGCAGAAUGAGUUCCUUUGUGGGGCACUUGGUCCAUUAAUUAGAAAAUUGCCUUCGUCUUAGAUGCUGGUGCUUCAGC